ensembl:lncRNA LINC00343 long intergenic non-protein coding RNA 343
AUGGGAAAGAAACCUGGAAAGGUAGGGAGGUAUGGAUAUGGACAAGCUAUGCCAAGGAGCAGGGCUUUGUCAUGGAGAGUGACUAGGUGCUUUUACAUAGGAAAGUCACCUGAUAAUAUUAAAACCUGUGAAAUAUCACUCUGGUGGAAGUGUGAAUGAAUUUGAAAGGGGUGUAACACUGUUCUACUUUGUUUACUCCUCAGUACCCUUGGCUGUGUACAUUUGAGUAAAGAGAGCACUAUAAAAUCAAAAACCAAUGAAAUGGUUUCCAGAACACAGAACUAUUAAGCUUAAGAAAAGGACAGAAGGAACUGAAGAGAGAGGAACUGUUUUGGAGCAUCACACUUCCACCUCAGAAGAAAUAAGGAAGGAAGGAGGAGGGUGUUCCCACGGCUCUUCAACCAGGCCGGCUCUUCAGCCUACAUCCCCAUCUCAUCAAGUAAAAGGGAUUUUUCAACUGGACCAACCAGAUGGUUUAACAGUGCACUCCCACACCAUUCAACUACGCAAGGGAGAUACACUUAACAUAUGCAGUCGUAUAACACCUACUAACAUUUUCAAACAUUAAACCUUUAAAAAAGAGUUCUAAAGAAAUAGAAGCUUGAAGUAUCAUCUCUCAAGUAUAUAGACACUACUUCAUGGUGUGGUAAUAUAUGCAUAUAGAAGCUAGUAAACACCUCCAGGAGAUGCAAAAGGAAUUAGAACUGCCACAAGGUGCAAGCAAAACCUUGAGGUAAUCAAUCUGCAUCCCAUUUUGGAUGAGAAUAUUUGCAACUUUGAAGGUUAUUUUAAGGACAGCAGCAGAAGAAUUAUGGCAGGUAUCUGAAAUUCAUUUCUGUGCUUUGCCGAGGACCCAUGGGAUGCCAUUUGCAGAUGAGAAAACUAAAGAAUAGCUUUAUCUUCCAGCUCUUCACGGAAAAAAAAAUGGCAACAAUAAAAUCAGCAACUCCUGCCAAAUAAAUGGGCAUAAAAAAGAAAUCAUAGACUGCUGGCAAUGGUGGGGAAAAAGUUAUAAAAAUUGUCUCUGCACCAUCUUCCUUUUGUCCUCUAAAAUAUUCACAUUAGCAAAAGUAUAUAACAGCUGAUGAAGAAAUACUGAUAAUUUGUCUUUCUUCUUUAAAAUAUGAAGACUUCGAAGUUAUUUAUCCAAACCAACCUGAUCAUUUCUUAAGAGUGAAUAUACCUUGGAAGACGUGUCCUGCCUUUAGUAGCGUCACAAUGGAUUACAUCCUCUAUAAAGCAGUCUGGGGUGAGAAAAUCGAAUUUGGACACCGUUGAGGAGACUAUUGCAGUCAUCCAAGCUCAAGAUGGUGGAGCUUCAUCCUUGAGAAUAACCAAUGGGGAUAGAUUUAAGAGACACUUAGAGUCUGCAGCCAACAGGGCUGAAUGAGCAGAGAGUUAUGAUUCAGAAGAUCAUCUAAAAUUGAACAGCUGCCACUACUGGCAAUAAGUCUACUGCCAUUUGGUAGAUAACCUUCUUAUCACACAGAAAAAUAUCAGUACAGACAAAUAGACCGCAAAGAAAAUGAGACCAUCAGCAAAGAAGAUAAAGAAGUUUGUACAAAGCAACUUUUUAUAAAUGGAUGGCUGUCAGGCAAAAAUAAAUUUCCUGUGGACAAGACCAAGAGCAAGGCAAGAGGAAAAUAAACAUGUUUAAACU